CAGCGCCGCGGGAAUACGGAGGGUGCAAGCGUUAAUCGGAAUUACUGGGCGUAAAGCGCACGCAGGCGGUCUGACAAGUCAGAUGUGAAAUCCCCGGGCUUAACCUGGGAACUGCAUUUGAAACUGUCAGGCUGGAGUCUUGUAGAGGGGGGUGGAAUUCCAGGUGUAGCGGUGAAAUGCGUAGAGAUCUGGAGGAAUACCGGUGGCGAAGGCGGCCCCCUGGACAAAGACUGACGCUCAGGUGCGAAAGCGUGGGGAGCAAACAGGAUUAGAUACCCCGGUAGUCCCUGUCUCUUAUACA
rnacentral:rRNA from 1 species